rnacentral:tRNA from 1 species
GGACGAUUAGCUCAGCUGGUAGAGCACUGCCUUCACACGGCAGGGGUCACAGGUUCAAGUCCUGUAUCGUCCACCA